GAUGGCUUAAUGGUAAGAGCGUCCGCCUCGGAUGCGAGAGAUCGUGGGUUCAAACACCAGCCAAUUCAUACCAGAGACA